rnacentral:tmRNA from 1 species
GCAAAUUUAAGACAUAUCUGUUAAGCGAGUCGAGGGACGCAUGGAGCUUCGUUAAUGAAGUAUGCAUAAAUGUAAACGCAGAAGAUAAUUUUGCAUUAGCAGCUUAGUUUAAUAGCUGUUCAUCAGCCCAGGUUGCCUACGGCUUGGAUCACUGGUGUCAUUUGAGUGGGAAACGAAGUUUAGCAAAGCUUUGAGAUAAAUGAGUAUUUAUGAAACUACUGAGAAGUAUAACCUGUCUAGGGGCGAUACUUUGAGGGGAUUUUAAAACUUAGACUGCACUCAGACAAAUUGAAAUUCAGCUGCUUUCGGACAGGAGUUCGAUACGCCUCGCCUCCACCA